UACAGAGGUCCCAGGCGUUGUUCGGAUUCACUGGGCGUAAAGGGUGCGCAGGUGGGUUUGCAAGUUCGAUGUGAAAGCCCCGGGCUUAACCCGGGAAUGGCAUUGGAUACUGCAGAUCUGGAGGAUCGGAGGGGGGACUGGAAUUCUUGGUGUAGCAGUGAAAUGCGUAGAUAUCAAGAGGAACACCAGUGGCGAAGGCGAGUCCCUGGACGAUACCUGACACUGAGGCACGAAAGCUAGGGGAGCAAACAGG
rnacentral:rRNA from 1 species